rnacentral:rRNA from 1 species
CCUGGCUCAGGAUGAACGCUGGCGGCGUGCCUAAUACAUGCAAGUCGAGCGAACGGACGAGAAGCUUGCUUCUCUGAUGUUAGCGGCGGACGGGUGAGUAACACGUGGAUAACCUACCUAUAAGACUGGGAUAACUUCGGGAAACCGGAGCUAAUACCGGAUAAUAUUUUGAACCGCAUGGUUCAAAAGUGAAAGACGGUCUUGCUGUCACUUAUAGAUGGAUCCGCGCUGCAUUAGCUAGUUGGUAAGGUAACGGCUUACCAAGGCAACGAUGCAUAGCCGACCUGAGAGGGUGAUCGGCCACACUGGAACUGAGACACGGUCCAGACUCCUACGGGAGGCAGCAGUAGGGAAUCUUCCGCAAUGGGCGAAAGCCUGACGGAGCAACGCCGCGUGAGUGAUGAAGGUCUUCGGAUCGUAAAACUCUGUUAUUAGGGAAGAACAUAUGUGUAAGUAACUGUGCACAUCUUGACGGUACCUAAUCAGAAAGCCACGGCUAACUACGUGCCAGCAGCCGCGGUAAUACGUAGGUGGCAAGCGUUAUCCGGAAUUAUUGGGCGUAAAGCGCGCGUAGGCGGUUUUUUAAGUCUGAUGUGAAAGCCCACGGCUCAACCGUGGAGGGUCAUUGGAAACUGGAAAACUUGAGUGCAGAAGAGGAAAGUGGAAUUCCAUGUGUAGCGGUGAAAUGCGCAGAGAUAUGGAGGAACACCAGUGGCGAAGGCGACUUUCUGGUCUGUAACUGACGCUGAUGUGCGAAAGCGUGGGGAUCAAACAGGAUUAGAUACCCUGGUAGUCCACGCCGUAAACGAUGAGUGCUAAGUGUUAGGGGGUUUCCGCCCCUUAGUGCUGCAGCUAACGCAUUAAGCACUCCGCCUGGGGAGUACGACCGCAAGGUUGAAACUCAAAGGAAUUGACGGGGACCCGCACAAGCGGUGGAGCAUGUGGUUUAAUUCGAAGCAACGCGAAGAACCUUACCAAAUCUUGACAUCCUUUGACAACUCUAGAGAUAGAGCUUUCCCCUUCGGGGGACAAAGUGACAGGUGGUGCAUGGUUGUCGUCAGCUCGUGUCGUGAGAUGUUGGGUUAAGUCCCGCAACGAGCGCAACCCUUAAGCUUAGUUGCCAUCAUUAAGUUGGGCACUCUAAGUUGACUGCCGGUGACAAACCGGAGGAAGGUGGGGAUGACGUCAAAUCAUCAUGCCCCUUAUGAUUUGGGCUACACACGUGCUACAAUGGACAAUACA